rnacentral:rRNA from 1 species
AGCGAACGCUGGCGGCAGGCCUAACACAUGCAAGUCGAACGAAGUCUUCGGACUUAGUGGCGGACGGGUGAGUAACAAGUGGGAACGUACCUUUUGGUAAGGAACAACUCAGGGAAACUUGAGCUAAUACCGAAUGUGCCCUUAGGGGGAAAGAUUUAUCGCCAUUAGAGCGGCCCGCGUUAGAUUAGCUAGUUGGUGGGGUAAAGGCCCACCAAGGCUACGAUCUAUAGCUGGUCUGAGAGGAUGAUCAGCCACACUGGGACUGAGACACGGACCAGACUCCUACGGGAGGCAGCAGUGGGAAAUCUUGCGCAAUGGGCGAAAGCCUGACGCAGCCAUGCCGCGUGAAUGAUGAAGGUCUUAGGAUUGUAAAAUUCUUUCAGUAGGGAAGAUAAUGACGGUACCUACAGAAGAAGCUCCGGCUAACUUCGUGCCAGCAGCCGCAGUAA